CCAGCAGCUGCGGUAAUUCCGGCUCCAAUAGCGUAUAUUAAAGUUGUUGCAGUUAAAAAGCUCGUAGUUGGAUUUCUGGAGGGAGCGGCCGGUCCGCGUCCUUUGGGCGCGUGUACUAGCUGUAUCUCCCACCUGCCUUGCGGGGACUGUGUCGGGCGGCUCUGCUGUCCCGGCCAGGAACCGCAUCAUUUACUGUGAGAAAAUUAGAGUGUUCAAAGCAGGUCUGCGCGUCUUUGAAUACGUUAGCAUGGAAUAAUAAGAUAGGACUCUGUGCCUAUUUUGUUGGUUUGCGAGCCAGAGUAAUGAUUAAUAGGGAUAGUUGGGGGUAUUCGUAUUUCAUUGUCAGAGGUGAAAUUCUUGGAUUUCUGAAAGACGAACUACUGCGAAAGCAUUUACCAAGGAUGUUUUAA
rnacentral:rRNA from 1 species